CAGCCGCCGCGGGAAUACGGAGGGGGCUAGCGUUGUUCGGAAUUACUGGGCGUAAAGCGCACGUAGGCGGCUUUGUAAGUUAGAGGUGAAAGCCCGGAGCUCAACUCCGGAAUUGCCUUUAAGACUGCAGAGCUAGCAGGUGAGAGAGGUGAGUGGAAUUCCGAGUGUAGAGGUGAAAUUCGUAGAUAUUCGGAAGAACACCAGUGGCGAAGGCGGCUCACUGGCUCAUACUGGACGCUGAGGUGCGAAAGCGUGGGGAGCUAACAGGAUUAGAUACCCCCGUAGUCCCUGUCUCUUAUAC
rnacentral:rRNA from 1 species